AAGUUAGGCACACAUGUCCGACAACAGACGUAUGUAAACCAGUAUAGGAGCAAUCCACUUGCUGUCAGUAAGAAACAGGCGUCAGGAAAAAGAGACAGUUAAAUGUUACUUGUCGCUCAAGUUCUCCACUAUCUAAACUUUAUCACCUCCAUUAUACCAAUGACGUAAAGCACAGAUUUAGAAACACAAAAGUGUUGAAAUUUGUUUUAACGGUCGUUCCACCGUAUCAUAAAGUGAAGCAUCUAGCCCGAUGUCGCUCAAGUUUUCCAACACGGCCCCAAGAAUAACUCGCCUGCUUGGAUCUAUUCAUUGGCUAGACCUCUGAUUCUGGUUGGAUGUUUCGUUUUUUUCGCACAAACGGCCUCAAAUCGUUGAGAGAAUUCUCUGUAAGUGUGAACCGUCCAUGCGUGUCCCGCUGAGAAGAAAUGGCAACCAGCGGCCAACCAAAAAACCCACAACAUGAGCAUAGAUGGUAAAAACCGGUAAAACCGUCAGGGAUGUCGCCCGUCACAGAGGAGUGAAGAUAGCUUGGAACUUAAGUACGACAAAGCAUUACCACGAGAGGAACGAAAAAGCUGCUGCAAGACGGGGAAAGCUGCUGGAGUAAUCUGGUGUUUUGUGUUUAUGCUCAUUUGAUUUAUUUCGUGCCAGCUAGUGAAAGCCGAAAGGCAUGUCGAAUUCAAGUUGAGCUGCUGCUUGCUGUCCGGAAGCAAGCAAUCCCGCCGUUGCGUUCGGAAUGGAGGAGGAUUGAACAGGAAUCUAAUGACUGUCAAUAGGUGGCUGUCAAUAGGUGGCUGAAAUGAUGUCCACCAGGUAGCGCGAGUGUCUUCAGCACUGACACAGAGCGGCCAUUUUGUUUCAAGACGCAGUAGAGGUGGGUUGUUGGUCGUGACGUUCUCACGAUGAAAAUUAAAAGGUAAUUUGGCUCGUAGAAACCAAUUUGCCAAUUCAUUCAAGUUCAACUCAGGCUUGGAAGUGCCCGUACAUUGCCGAAAUGGCGUGCCUCGUGUGUCUUGCUGCCUGUUCUUAGGCGUACAUCUCAUCCCAUGCAACAGCAAAAAGUAUAACAAACACUUCUUUAACACUGUUGGUUACCUUGUUGCAGCCAAAUGGUGAAAGGUGUGACGAAGACAGAUGGAACCAUUGUAUGCAGCAUGCGGUUGCUGUGAUAUUCAGAAGUAGCAGUACUGGUGUUAUCCUGAAAUUGCUGUGCUGUUGUAGCUAAGCUGUUCCAUCUGGGUUCCUGACUUGAAAAUUUUUAUGUUGUUCUUUGCCUGCUAGUAUUUUGUGUUGUGACUUCAAAUAGUUUGAUCUGUCGUCUUUUGAGUUUUCAUUCAAUCAUGCAGUAUACGACUGAGGCAACCUGAUCAAUGUCAGGUUUGACACAGUCGAGAACUGCUAGAUAAAACAAGCUUUCUGCGCCAAACAAAUAAUAAUUUGCAUAUAACUUG